rnacentral:rRNA from 1 species
GACGAACGCUGGCGGCGUGCCUAAUACAUGCAAGUCGAGCGCAGGAAACUGACGGAACUCUUCGGAGGGAAGGCAGCGGAAUGAGCGGCGGACGGGUGAGUAACACGUAAGGAACCUGCCUCAAGGAUUGGGAUAACUCCGAGAAAUCGGAGCUAGUACCGGAUAGUUCAUCGGACCGCAUGGUCCGCUGAUGAAAGGCGCUCCGGCGUCACCUUGAGAUGGCCUUGCGGUGCAUUAGCUAGUUGGUGGGGUAACGGCCCACCAAGGCGACGAUGCAUAGCCGACCUGAGAGGGUGAUCGGCCACACUGGGACUGAGACACGGCCCAGACUCCUACGGGAGGCAGCAGAAGGGAAUCUUCCACAAUGGACGAAAGUCUGAUGGAGCAACGCCGCGUGAGUGAUGAGGGUUUUCGGAUCGUAAAACUCUGUUGUAAGGGAAGAACACGUACGAGAGGGAAUGCUCGUACCUUGACGGUACCUUACGAGAAAGCCACGGCUAACUACGUGCCAGCCGCCGCCGUAA